UCAUUUUGGAAAAAUACCUGGUUAGAGUCUGUUCUGAUGGAAAUGGGACCAGGGACCAGCUGGGUGCCCUUUCUGACCAACCAAAUUAGCUUCUACCUCAAAUUUUCCAGUGCAAAAAUGGAAUCAACAUCCUUCAGACUCUGAAAAAUAAUUGCUUCUUAGUUAUUUACAAAGAUGGAUUGCUCUUCAAUGUUUGGAAGCGGGAAACCUCAGGACAAACCAGUUGACUGCGUGCAAAUGCCUUCUCUCUUGGAAUUGUCCCAUGGCUAUUGGGCUAUAGGAGUUACUGCCCAGAGGGCUGAAUAUACGGUAGAUACUGGCAAGGAACAAUUUCUUAAUUCCCUGGAAUUUGAGAUGACCAGGAAGGAGUGAUACAGAGGGUUUUGACAGCAAAGCCUAAAUGAGGAAGAGAAGAGAGGAUGCUACUCAUGACUGCAGAUCAGGUGUUGCUACUGCCAAGAGCCUCCUGGGAAGUACAACUUGCUCCCAUCAGCAGAGUAACUUUGAGAAGGGAAUGCAGAAAGGAGAACGGCACCGAUACAUUGCUUAGAAAAGAUGACAAACGGAAGAGAAAAGGCACCAGAAGGUGGGGCAGUAACCAUAGGCCAUCCAUCUUUUCUCACAUAAACAAAUCAGUUAUCGUCAAGCCUAUGACUUCAACCUCAUCAGUUUUCUGUAUACAUUUUGGAAAAAUGGCUCGGUUUUGAAUGGGGUAUGUGGGGAUGGGAAUGGUGGCUAGAAAUUUGUAUUUGGAAAUGUGAUACAAUGCUUAUCUAAAAAAACAAAACAAAACAUUGCCCCUAAAAGUAUUCCCCCUGCUUUUGAUAAUCAUGUGUAAUAAUCGUAUGAUAUAUGAGAAAUAGAAUCAUGUGUCAUAAAACGAGUAUUUUAUUUGGCUUAAGUUUUUAUUUCAUAAACUUAAACCUCUCCAAAAUAAAAUAAUCCGCUGUUAAAAAUCUGCCCACUAGAUGGCUGU